ACAUGGGGAUUUGCUGGUAUGUCGGUCUUCGGAACCGAAGGUUGUAGGUUCGAGUCCUACCGGGUGUA
rnacentral:tRNA from 1 species